UACGUAGGGACCGAGCGUUGUCCGGAAUCAUUGGGCGUAAAGAGCGUGUAGGCGGCCACUUAAGUCCUGCGUGAAAUCUUGCGGCUCAACCGCAAGCGGUCGUGGGAAACUGGGUGGCUAGAGUGCGGGAGAGGAGAGUGGAAUUCCUGGUGUAGCGGUGGAAUGCGCAGAUAUCAGGAGGAACACCGGUGGCGAAGGCGGCAUCCUGGACCAAUUCUGACGCUGAGGAGCGAAAGCCAGGGGAGCAAACGGG
rnacentral:rRNA from 1 species